UACGUAGGGUGCAAGCGUUGUCCGGAAUUAUUGGGCGUAAAGAGUUCGUAGGCGGUUUGUCGCGUCGGGAGUGAAAAUCCAGGGCUUAACUCUGGACUGGCUUUCGAUACGGGCAGACUAGAGGUAUGCAGGGGAGAACGGAAUUCCUGGUGUAGCGGUGAAAUGCGCAGAUAUCAGGAGGAACACCGGUGGCGAAGGCGGUUCUCUGGGCAUUACCUGACGCUGAGGAGCGAAAGUGUGGGGAGCGAACAGG
rnacentral:rRNA from 1 species